CAACGCUUCCACUGGCUACAUCCUAAAGCCUCCCUCCAAGCUCUUGACACAGGUUUCUCUAUCUUAGGAAUUCUGACUCAGAAACACAUUCACUGUGGCAAUAGCCUUGGCAGUGUAUACAAAUUCGUCUGUCUUUCCCCAGAGUAUAUGUUUACAAUGAAACAGAGUACUGUGCUAAACUCAGCCAGCUCACCUGUGUACCAUCCCUUUGCCAGUAAUGGACAAACUUGGAAUAAGGAGGAACGUCAUCAAAAUCACGGAAGACUCGUAAAUUCAGAGUAAACGCCAACCACGGUGUGCCUUUUGAAUUUAUUUUGGGUUCUUAGAGAAAACUAAAAGAUGACACAGACGAUAUAUCUUCUCUUUGUGGAACAGUCUGAACACUGAGCAUGCUCCUAAAGCAAUUCACAUUUCGGAGAAGACAGAAUCAAAUUUACACCCAAGUGCUUAAAAGACAGUCGGUGGAGAGUGGAAGAUUCUUAUCCUAUAUGCAUUGCUUCUGUGAAAUAAAAGCAGCUCCUGGGCUGUUCUGUUAGUCUGCAGAAAAAGCCAGAAGCUACUCACAGGAACAGCUCUUAAGGAGAAAAGAAGUCAACAUUGCCAUUUCGAAGGCCUAAGGUAAACGAAAAUACCAAGAUGUAUGUUUGGGAAAUACGCUAUUUCUCAAUUGCAUGAAGAGGUGAAGUAAGGAAAGCAAACAUUUUGGACUAGUGAAGUUUAUCGAUUGUGGCAGCAAAGAAGACCUGAACCAAGAAACAAAAUUUGUUUUAUGGAAACUGCUUAGUGAACUGGAUGCAUUCUUGGAUGAACAACUAAUUGAUCCCUUUCCUAUCAUUCUCUACUCUAAAUCUUCACUAUCUCCUCAUCAAAGGUAAAAUUACAAGCUUCUUCGACACCUGGCCUUUGAUCAUUAGCUCCUGCUUACCAGUCCAGCCUCAGCUUGCACUUCUGCCCUGUUUUGCUUUACACUCCAGUCACCCUAAACUGCUGUUCGAUCCUUUCUCCAUCAACACAUGACACCAUGGCAGCAUUCCCUGUUUUUACCAAUGCCACUUGCUCUACCUGGACUCAUUUCAGGAACUAUCUCUUCUCCCCCGCCUCCUUUGCUUCACCUAUCAAAAAGCUACUAAUCUGUCAGUACUCAGCUUGGGUGUCAUCUACCAAGUCACCUUGCGGGGAGCCACGUGGCCCCUUCUUGGAGCUCUCAUCGAGCACGUUCAUAAAUCUUACCUUAGCACUGACACCCUGUACUAAAACAAUCUGUUUAUAUUUCUCCUUCUCAAAAUCAGGCACUGUUCAUCCCUAGAUCCCAGCACACAUGUUGCCCAUAGUGGACAGUCUCCAAGUGUUUACUGAGUUGCAUAGACUACAUUAUAUAGGUUCUUACAUUGUGAGAGAUAUUUUCUUUAAUACCCAGGUAAAAUCGGUAGACUUGAAAUCACAGUAUUUCCUCAUUUCCAUUAAAUGGAGUCAUUUAUAAAAUUGUAAGACCAAGUUGAAUAGGGUGAUAAAAAAUUAUCAUGUAUGCAAAGAAGAAUUAUAGUUUCCACUCAGAAAUUUGGAUUCAUGUAAACCUAGAAAGAAUUCUCUAAUAUUUAAAAAUUAAAAGUCUGGCUAACACCAACUUUUGGCCACUUUUUACUUGGUUGAAAAAAAUAAAUGCUUACACAACAAAACAAUACUAUUGCAUUUAAAUUCAAAAUAAAUUCAAAUUCAUGCAUUAAAUACUGAGUUAUAAAAACACAUGCACAAACCACCAGAACAAUGAAAGGAUAUUACCAUUUGGUCAUGAUAAAUUUAGAAGAUUGUAUAGAAAUGUUCCUGGACAAUUAAGUCCCCCAUAAAAACAUGUUUUUAUAAAGUUGGCAUUCUCAUCCACUAUCUCUGAGUUUUAAAUGUUUAUUUAUUUAUUUAUUUUGAGAGAGAGAGAAAGUGAAAGCAGGGGAGGAGCAGAGAGAGAGAGAGAGAGAGAGAGAGAGGGAGGGAGGGAGAGAGGGAGGGAGAGAAUCCCAAGCAGGCUCCAUGUUCACCGAGGAGCCCAAUGUAAUGCUCGAUCUCACCAUGGCCAGAUCAGGAACUGAGCUGACAUUAAAAGCCAGAUACUGAACCAACUGAGUCACCCAGGAGCCCCUGUUUGUUUUUUAUUCAUGGUCUGCCAAAGGACCCAUCACCCACUUCUAGCAACAUAUUCAUUUUGUUAGACCAACACUGAAAGUAAAUAUUGGCAUCAGUGAUUCUAAUGAGAAAGCUGUACAUGUGACCCUGUAGCUCAGGAAGCUGUUGCAUCAAGAAUCACACCAUGAUCUCUCCUUAAAAUAGUACUGAUAAGAAAUAUGGCUCCUUGCCAAAGAUUUUUAGCCAAACCAUAUUAAAGAAAAAAAGAAGCAAACAACAAUUCUAAAGCCUGUGCACCAGCAGUAUCAGAUCACAUGGGAGCUUGUUACAAAUGCAGAUGCUGAUUCAGUAGGACGGGCUGGGCCAGAUAUUCUGCAUUGUGAACAAGUUUCCAAAUGAUACCAGUGCUACCGAUCUGCAGAUCAUAUUCUGAGCAGUGCAGGUAUAAAUACUUGGCAACAGAGGUAAAGCAGCAAUAAACUCUGUUUCAGUGGAAGGUUAUCUAGGAAAGCCGUUGACAGGAGGUGACAAUCAUACAGAAUAAAGGGACAAAGAGCUCUCGUCACAGGAGAUUUCAAAACUAAGGACAUAUAGCUUUGAAAAUACAUAACAUGGUUAAGUCACAGUAAGCCAGCACAAAUGUUCAAAGUACGGAAUACGUGGAAAGAGUGCCAAAAGGCCAGGUCAGGGAAGUAACCUGAGGCCAGGUUGUGACUAUUCUAUAUACCUGUCAUACACCUUGACAUUUAUUUCACAAACAUUGAAGAGAUCCUGUGGUGAUAUUGGACUUUUUUGCGUGUGUGUGUGAGAGAGAGAGAGAGUGCGCAACAGCAAGCAAGAGCGUGCGCAUGUGAGUAGUGGGGAGGGGCAGAGUGAGAAAGAGAGAGAGAAUCUCAAGCAGACUUCAUGCUCACCACGGAGCCCAAACUGGGGCUUGAUCCCUCAACCCUGGGAUCAUGACCUGAACUGAAAUCAUGAGUCAGACACUCAACUUACUGAGUGAGCUACCCAGGCACCCCAGGAUACUGGACUUUCAAAAAUUGUUCUAAUUGAAUGUAUUUGACAUAUAACAUGGCAUAUAUUUAAGGUGUACAGCAUAUUGAUUUGAUACAUUUAUAUCAAUUGUAUUGCUAUUGUAGAGAUAUUUAGCACUUUUACCAUAUUAUAUAAUUAUCCUUUCUUUUUAGUGACAGGGAUAAUUAACUUUUAGUCUCUUAGUAAGUUUGAUGAUUGCACUAUGAGAUUGUUGUGUAUACUCAUUAUAUUAUGCAUUAGCUUUUUAAAAAUUUUUCUUGAAGAAAAACCACAGAAUGCCAAUAUUAAAAAAAAAAGAACUGUGACAUUAUCAUGGGAAAUGGGCUGAAAGAAAUAAACAUAACCAGGCAAAAGGUUAUUUGAAGUAAUUUAAGCAAGAGAUGUUGAAGCCUUGAACUACAGCAGUGGCAUUUAAAUGGGGUAAGAAAGGAAAGCCCCUGAAAGACAUUUAUGAAUUUACGUGUGGCACAGAUACGGGAUUACCCACCAAAAUCCAUUCUCCCACGCUUUCAUGGUAUAGAGUUAUGGCUAGGGGGUGGCUGGCCACUUAAGAGAGCAAGAGAACUCCUGGGGCACCUGGGUGGCUCAGUCGGUUGAGAAUCUGACUUCAACUCAGGUCUCACGGUCUUUGAGUUCGAGCCCCGCGUCGGGCUCUAUGCUGACAGCUCAGAGCUUGUAGCCUGCUUCGGAUUCUGUGUCUCCCUCUCUCUCUGCCCCUCCCCUGCUCAUGCUCUGUCUCUCUUUCUGUCAAAAAUAAAAUAAACAUUAAAAAAAUUUAGAAAAAGAGAGCAAGAGAACUCAUUAUAGCCUGCACAAUGUUCAUGAAAGUGAUGUGAACUUAGCCUUACUUAAGAAUUAAUUGUUGACUUUGGUCUUCCUCUGUGCCCCCUCCCACUAGCUAGAACUAUAAUCUCAGAGGUCAUAUGUUGAUGACAGAAGAGGUGCUGUGGUCUGAGUCUCUAAAGGGUUUCAUGGAGAUGAGCUGCCCACUGACUUGGGCACUCUUCUCAGGAUGUUACAUAAGAAAAAAAAACUUGGCAAUGUUCUAAUGUAUAUGUAUUAUUAUGUGUUUUGUUCCGGCAGCUCAGUGUUUGCUUUUAGCCUCUAGAGGACUUAGUGGUUUAAGGAGUGUGAACAGUAAAGAAUACUAGGGAUUUCAGAGUAUCUAAACGAACAGCACGAAUCACAGAGUGAUGGUGUGUCCUUAUUCAGAUAAAAGAAAAGCAGAAGAGAUUGUAGGUCUAGGGGAAAACAUUGUGAAUUCACUUUUUGAAAGAUGAAGUUUAGGGUGCUUGCAGGAUAUCCUGUCGCAGAUAUCCAGCAGGUUUUUACACAAACAGGCCUGGAUCUCAAGAGAAUACAAGAGGUUUGAAAAAGCCAAGUGAGGCAAGGAAUACACAGGGAGAGACUGUGUGGUAAGAAGAAAAGGCUGUCAGUUACAGGACCCUGGGAACAAAACCAAUACAGGAGUGGGGUCCAACCAAAGGAGAAUAGUAGGAGAAACACAGGUGAGGGCAAACAGAGAGUAGUGUCACAGAAUUAUCUCAUAAAACAAUGUCAAGUGAAAAAUACAAAAACAAGUGCUGACGAACACACAAAUACACUAUAAUGUCAUUUAUAUAAAGGUUAAAAACAUAUAAAAUGUAACAUGACAUAUUGUGUAGGAGUACACAAAUAUAUAGUAAAAGUAUAAAAAAUGAAUGAGAAUGUUCUAUACCAAAUUUUGGAUAACGGUUACACAUCUGUUUGGGCAGGAUUACAAGCAGGGAGAAACAUACAGGGAAGUUGAACGGUUGAUAAUGUUUUAUUGAACUGGGAGGAGGCACAUCAGUGCUCACAUUUUUAGUAGUUUAUAUGUUUCAUAAUAAAAUUUUGAAACUAAUGAAAAUGUCAAAAGAGUUGCACAAAGUAGGAUGUGGUAAACAAUAUCAUAAGAAGAUAAGAAAUGGAAAAAAACAAUGGAUUUGGCAGGUAGCAGUUUGGUAAAAACAUUUUAUAAGAGGGAUUUUUUUAAGUAAAGAGGAACUUAGGUUAGAUUUUUUUAAACUUAAGGAAGCAAAAUUCCAUGUUGACAUUUUAUUUGUUUGUUUAUUGCUUGUUUAUAUUUUAUUUUAGAGAGAGAAAGAACAAGCAGACAGAGGGGGCAGAGGGAAAGAGAGAGAAUCUUAAGCUGGCUUCACACUCAGCACAGAGCCCGAUGUGGGACUUGAUCCCAUGAACCGUAAAAUCACGACCUAAGCCAAAAUCAAGUCAGCUGCUCAAAUGACUGAGCCACCAGGUGCCUCCUUUUGACAUAUGAAACAUUAACUACACUAUUUCUGUUGAGUUAUUCACUUUAUAAGAAACUUAUAACUGUUUAUAAUUGUUUUAUAAUGAGAAAAACUUGUUUUCUGCAAUAGAGGAAAAGACACUAAUGAAAUUAUAACUCCACCUAACAUAAAUUUCUUUAUGAGCUUAGCUCAUGAUAGAAAUAAACUAUAAAAUGUUCAUCAUUCUCCAUUAGCAUAUUAAAGAGAAGUCAUAUCUGAUAAAAAUUCUAGGGGCCAGCUGAAUUUAGAAUAAUGAAAAUAAAUGAAGGGCAAAAACUGACCCUGAAAGUAAAAAUGAUCUUUUUUAUUCAAGAAGCAAAUGAACUAUUUGCAAAAUAACCCUUUUUCAAAAUAUUUAUUCUGGCAGUGAUGAGAUCUCAAGCUAUUGUCUCUAUGUCCUCUAAGGGAGCAACACUCAAAGCUUAUGCUAAACUUCACCUGAAUCACAGAUGAAUACAUUAAAUAAUUACAGUACAUUUUAGCAAAGAAAGAGAUUACUUUGAGGAAGAAUUUUCAUUUUUCCUUUUUUUAACUGUUCAUUUAUUUUGAGACAGAGGGAGUGUGAGCGGGGGAGAGGCAGAGUGAGAAGGAAAGGAGAGAGAGAGAGAUUGAGAAUGAAUCCCAAGCAGGCUCCGUGCUGUCACUGCGGAGCCCAAUCCAGGGCUUGAUCCAUGACCAUGAUAUCAUGACCUGAGCCAAAAUCAAGAGUUGGCCGCUUAACGGACUGAGCCAGCCAGGUGCCCUAAGAAUUUUCAUUUUUCAAACUCCAGUUGUUUCUCAUUUAAUCUUCAUAACGACCCUGCAAACUUGUGACUGCUAUAUACAUUUUAAGGACCAAAAAAUUUAGGUACAGAGACAUUAAGUAAUUUAGCUGUCCAAAGUUAUAAAAAUAAGUAGUGGGGCUGGAUUUCAAAUUCAGAUAUAGCUACAUUCAAAAUUGACAGGCUUUCCACUAAUCUUUGUAUCUACCUCUCAAAUGAACUUAGUGACUGAUGGACAUGUAAGAUCCCCCCCCCC